ACAUAAUUUAUGUUUUAGGUUCAUAGCUAUUCUUAAUAUGACUGUUUUAAAUAUUGUUAAUGCAUGAACUGUUACUGUAUAGUAAAAAUUGCUACUUGAACUUCUGAUUGAGCUAAGUUUGCAUUAUUUUGAGAGGUAAUAUGUAACAGAUCAUCAAUCAGUAAAAUAGUGCAUCAGAGUCAUAAAAUCGUCUUAGAUUUUCUAAAAAAAAAAGAUUCUAGAUUUCAUCAAAUCCUUGGUUGCAUGACUAUCAAACUUUGAAAAGAUCAUAUACAUGUACUGCAAAUGCAAGAAGGAACUUAACAAUGCUUAACGUACAUUUGAAAAGGAAAGGAGUGUUUUAUUCUUGAAUUGCUCUACAUCAUCAAACAUGGAAGGAGAUAACAUCUAAAGAGAUAUGACAGAAGUUGACCUUGAAAGAUUCAACUGGCUCUGGUAAGAAACGUUAAAUUUUGAUUAACCUAUUAUACACGUAAGGAGGAGUAAAACAUGACUACACCAGUAAAAUCUACAAACAAUACUUACCAAUUAAUUGCUGUGAGAAGGGAGAUCUUGUUGCAGAAAAAAUAGGGUUUAUUCUUAUUUGUCAAAAACAAUCAAAGGCAACACUUCGUCCUAGCAUGCCUUAUAAAUAUAAAAGAAAACACGAUGAUAUCUAUCUUUGAUUAAAAUUUCACACUUUUAUAGAUUUGAGAGAAAUACUUAAUACUCAGCGGGGUAUCCCCAGCCUAUAUACUAGUAAUUGUUUAAUUAUUAAGUACAUAUUACUGCUUGUAAAUCACUGGCUUUAAAAACAAAACCUAUUUUUAAUAGUUUAUACAAUUAUAAAAUCGAGGUACACCUACAUGUCAUAUCCACAAACCAAUGCAAUGCUGAAAUUUGAAUACUACAAUUAAGAAUGAUAUCUUUAUAGCUCAACAGUUUAUCGUCAAAUUAACACCAUGAUGACUCAAUGACCUUACUUAAUGCCAAGGACAUCUCGAGUCUUGAACUCUCAUUUUCUAGUAACAAAGAUAUAGUGAUGUGGUAAGAUUGCUAAUAUGACAACUAUCAACUAAAACACAAUGACAUGGAUGUAAAAAAAAUCAGAAACUAAUAACAUGCUAUAUUUUUUUAUUAAUGCGAAUAAUACGACAGGGUUUGUAUUAUUGCACGAAUAAGAACUCGCAUUAUAAUACCCGAUACAUAUUUCUUUUUUUGCAGUUUUUACUGAAAUCACAUUAAUCAAUCUUGAUAUUAGUUGGUCAUGACGAAAUUGCAAUAAUAAAUUUUUGCAAUAAUUUCUGGAUUCACUGUCCACAUAUUGAAGGUAUACAUAUAGCAAACAACAAUAAGCGACACCCUUCACAGAAGACAAACUUAAAAAGUUCCUGGUUUGCAAAAUGUUAAAUGAAUCAUUAGAUAAAGCUUACGGCAUCUACUCAUAUUCUUUUAAAACUAUCGCUUAGUGUGAAAGAUAGCUAUAGGCCUAUUUAAUUUAUUAGUCGCUGCAGAGAAAAUGCUACUUCAGAUAUGUUUAUAAAUUUUGCAUACAAUGUUUACAUGUUUAAUAUACAGGUGUACGUAGGAGUGUAGUGAGAAACACAAAUUAAAGUGAAGUACAGAUUGGACAUAAUUUUAAAGAAGAGCUCAAAGGUACAUUCCUUAACUCAUUACAGAUAAAUUUACCAAAAAUAUUAAAUAAGCUAGUAUAAUGGGCUGUAAAAUGAACAUCAAAAAUAUGAAAAAGAAGAUGUUGUAUAAUUGCCAAUGAGACAACUCUCCACAAGAGACCAAGUGACACAGAAAUUAACAGCCUAUUUCCUUUUCAGUUCCGCACCAAAGGCAAACUAGUGGAUAUUGAUUUUUAUUAUCAACAAUUAUCUAAAUUUUAAAAGAAUCUGUAAAUAAGUAAUUCGAUAUACACACAUUUAAAUAGCUCCAAAUUUCCUUUUACUAUCAAACCAUGAAUACCUAUUCACUUUGCGAGUUGCUGCAUGGAUGAUGCUACCUUUACAUAUGCUUAUAAAUUUUGAAUACAUUGUUUACAUGUUUAAAGUACAGGUGUACGUAAGAGCGUAUUAGAACCACACAUAAAAGUGAAGUAGAGAUUGGACCUAAUUUGAAAGAAGAGCUCAGAGGUACAUAACAUUAAGUCAUUCUUAAAAUCAUUAUAGAUAAAUGUGCCAAACAAAUUAAACAAGCCAUUACAAAAGACUGUCACACGAAAAGUAAAAAUAUGAAAAAGAAAAUGUGAUAUGAUUGCCAAUAAGACAACUUAAAAAAAAAGAAAACAAAUGACACAGAAAUGUAGAGUAAAAUGACACAGAAAUAAACAACAUGUUUCCUUUUCAGUUCCGCAUCAAAGGCAAAAUUUGUGAACAGGCUAGUGGCUUAAGAAAAAAAAUCAAUUUGAAUUUGAAGUAUUGACAGUUAUCUAAAUUUGAUAAAAACCGGUUCACAAGUAAUUCGAUAACCACACAUAUAAAUAGCUCCAAUUUUCAUUUUACUAUCAAACAUGUGGGUUGUUGCAUAGCAGAUGCUACUUUACCAAUGCUUAUAAAUUGUGCAUUCAUAGUUUACAUGUUUAAUAUACAGAAGUGUAUUUAGCAGCACAAAUUGGCUCAAAUGUACAUCCUUAAACACAUUAUACAUAAAUGUACCAAACGAAUUAAAUACGCCUUUAGAAUAGACUGUCAAACGAACAACAUAUAUGUGAACAAGAAGGUGUGGUAUGAUUGGCAGUGAGAUAACUCCACAAUGACACAGAAAUGAACUACAAAAUGACACAGAAAUUAACAGCUAAGCCAGAGUUUGUGAAAAGACUACCGGUACUGGCUAUUGAAAAAAAUAUAUUUUUAAAUAUCAACAAUUACCUUAAUUUGAUUAGGAUCGGUUAAUUAGUCUUGGAUAUACAUGCAUAUAAAUAGCUAAAUUCUCGUUUUACUAUCAAACUAGGAAUACCAGACGUGAUUAUUGACAAAUUGAUGUUCACCUGCAACUUACAUAACUAAUG
rnacentral:lncRNA from 1 species